rnacentral:rRNA from 1 species
GCUUCCAAGAAAAGCUCUAAACACCAUAAACAUUCACUGCCUGUACCCGAAACCGACACAGGUAGGGAGGUUGAGAAUACCAAGGGGCGCGAGAUAACUCUCUCUAAGGAACUCGGCAAAAUGGCCCCGUAACUUCGGAAGAAGGGGUGCCCACCUCAGACGUGGGUCGCAGUGAAGAGAUCCAGGCGACUGUUUACCAAAAACACAGGUCUCCGCAAAGUCGAAUGACGACGUAUGGGGGCUGACGCCUGCCCAGUGCCGGAAGGUUAAGGAAGUCGGUCAGGGCGCAAGCCUAAAGCUGGCGACUGAAGCCCCGGUGAACGGCGGCCGUAACUAUAACGGUCCUAAGGUAGCGAAAUUCCUUGUCGGGUAAGUUCCGACCUGCACGAAUGGCGUAACGACUUCCCCGCUGUCUCGACCAUGAGCUCGGCGAAAUUGCAGUACGAGUAAAGAUGCUCGUUACGCGCGGCAGGACGAAAAGACCCCGGGACCUUCACUAUAGCUUGGUAUUGGUGUUCGAUUCGGUUUGUGUAGGAUAGGUGGGAGACUGUGAAGCAUUGGCGCCAGCUGGUGUGGAGUCAUUGUUGAAAUACCACUCUGGUCACUUUGGAUAUCUAACUAGGAACCGUGAUCCGGUUCUGGGACAGUGCCUGGUGGGUAGUUUAACUGGGGCGGUUGCCUCCUAAAGAGUAACGGAGGCGCCCAAAGGUUCCCUCAGAAUGGUUGGAAAUCAUUCGUAGAGUGCAAAGGCAGAAGGGAGCUUGACUGCGAGACUUACAAGUCGAGCAGGGACGAAAGUCGGGACUAGUGAUCCGGCACCUACUUGUGGAAGUGGUGUCGCUCAACGGAUAAAAGGUAC